rnacentral:rRNA from 1 species
UACGUAGGGGGCAAGCGUUGUCCGGAUUUAUUGGGCGUAAAGAGCGUGUAGGCGGCCUGACAGGUCUGCUGUGAAAACUCGAGGCUCAACCUCGAGAUGGCGGCGGAAACCGUCUGGCUAGAGUCCGGAAGAGGAGAGUGGAAUUCCUGGUGUAGCGGUGAAAUGCGCAGAUAUCAGGAAGAACACCUAUGGCGAAGGCAGCUCUCAGGGACGGUACUGACGCUGAGACGCGAAAGCGUGGGGAGCGAACAGG